GACAAUAUGAAUAUCUAUAAUAUGGCCAAGUUUAAAAAAUUCUACUGUGUAGUUUUUUUUCUGUUCUGUUAGGAAUGAAAGAGGAUGGAUGAAAGAGGAAGAAAAUCAAGGCAGGAUUUGAAUGAAAGAGGAUGGAUGAAAGAGGAAGAAAAUCAAGGCAGGAUUUGAAUGAAAGAAGAUUAAACAGUAAGAAAAACAUGAAUGAAAGAUGAUGGACUAAAGAGGAAGAAAAAAAGGGAGGUUUUGUUAGUUUUUCACAAAAUAUUUAUUGGCUUUAAAUUAGAAAAUUUUACCUUAAUAAGAAUCAAACUUCCCAAUUAA